rnacentral:rRNA from 1 species
AACGAACGCUGGCGGCAUGCCUAACACAUGCAAGUCGAACGAAUGGUUUCGGCCAUUAGUGGCGCACGGGUGAGUAACGCGUGGGAAUCUGCCCAGCAGUGGGGAUAACCUCUGGAACGGAGGCUAAUACCGCAUACGCCCCUCGGGGAAGGCUUGCUGCUGCUGGAGGAGCCCGCGUCGGAUUAGGUAGUUGGUGGGUAACGGCCUACCAAGCCUGUGAUCCGUAGCUGGUCUGAGAGGAUGAUCAGCCACACUGGGACUGAGACACGGCCCAGACUCCUACGGGAGGCAGCAGUGGGGAAUAUUGGACAAUGGGCGCAAGCCUGAUCCAGCAAUGCCGCGUGAGUGAUG